rnacentral:lncRNA from 1 species
GUUAGAAGAGGCCUCUCUGCACAACUGUGGGGACAGGGGAGUGUCCUUUAUCCCUUCUGGGCUUGUCUGGUUCUGUUAGAUGCUGGAGAUUUCACCCAGCCUUUCCCUCUUCUCUACUCCUAGCUGCACCGGGGGUACAGGGUCUCAGUGACCCGUGUCUCUCUGCCCUAAGUAUUCAACUCUUAAUUCAGCAGCACCCGGGCACACCUGGGCUCCUGCCCUUCUGCUGGUUUCUGUUCAUCUCCAUGUGCAACCUUAGGGCCUGCUGGAUCCUUUUCCAAACCCUUUGAGGACCACAUAGACCACAUAGACCUGUCCUUUCUUUCUGGUCAUGCUGCUGCUGGCCUUUCCAUUGCUGCUAAAUGGCCACUGUAGGAGGCUGCUUACUUUCAGAAUCAGGCCUGAACAUGGGUACCAGUCUCUAAGUUCAAGUGCAGCCCCUGAGCUCAGGGUACAUACAUCAAGCCCUUUACUUUUCUUUCCCACAGUGGGCAGUGGAAUAGCAAGUGUGCUGGGCUGUAGUCCAAGACCUACAGGAUGGCAAGGAUCCUGACGAUGCUCUGUGCCUCUCAGACAUUGUGGAGAGCGAAGUGCAUGCUGCUGGGAAUGUUUGCUUAUCUCUCUCCGGCAGUGUUCCCCAGAGUCCUGGUCCUGGGCUCUGGCUCCGAGGAGGUUGUGGGUGCUGAGCACCCUUGCCAUGCUGCCUGCAGACUCAGCCCAUCUGCUCCCCAGCGCGCCUUGCCACCCGCAGCCAGACUACACAGGCUGGCUUUGACAAAGUGACAGAAGCUGUAAAAACAGCUGUUUGUCAUUCCCUGCUGCAAAACAAAACAACCAGAAAAAGAGGUUGAGUGAAAUGAAGAAAAGAUAGUUGUUUCAUGUAGAUAAGGAUAUUUUUACUUAUAGAACACUUACUUUCUCUUUUCAUUUCUUUAGUUCCUACUCAACUAUUUCUCUUUUUCUUGCCCUUGCUCCUUCCUUUUUUCCUCCUUCCCC